UGUGAAGCCAACACACAUUAGGCCAUUUCCAGCCGUCUGCACACACUCAGGCGUUUCCACUGAAUAACUCGUCCUGCAUUCUGUUGACUGUCUAUGCCAUAAUAAUCUUUGACCGUUGAUAAAGUGCCUUAUCUCGUCUCUGAGGCGUCUCAAAUCGAUUCAUAGAAUAUCCUCUCAAGUCUUGUGAGCGUGUGUUGGUUGGGCGGCGAAACUCGAGAACGAACCGUGCACCGCAGAUUAGCUCGAAGAGUCGUGGAUUGAGUGACAAUUUUUUGAGGGAUCAAUAGCCCUGUAAAGCGAUCCGCAGAUCGACUCGCAGUCGGAUUCCUGUUUACUGUCGGUUAAAGAGAGACGCGAGGAAUAAGGAAAACUGCCUACGGUUUUAAAGGCAAUUGUAGUUUCUUCAUUGAAGCGCUGAAAGAUUGGCUAUGAAGCGCGAAUACACUUUACUCUUCAUCCUCCUGAAAGCUGCCGUGUUCCUAUGGGGAGUCAGUGGUCAGGAGGAAGUCUACCAGACGCCACUCUCUGUGACUGUUGGGGAGAAGGAAAAUGUGCUUAUCAAUUGUUCCGCAAAAGGAACGACUCAAACUUUACAGUGGUACAGACAGUAUCCGAACCAGGCUCUCAAACACUUGGUAACAGGAAAGACAGGAGAGCAGCAGAAGGAGAGGAUCACAGCAACAAUGAACUAUAAAGAGAAGGGCAGUAAUCUGAGCAUCACAGGCACAGAAGUGACAGACGCCGCCACCUACUUGUGUGCAGUGGAGACACAGUGA